ACGGGGUGCAGCAGGCGCGAAAACUCUACAAUGCAGGCAACUGCGAUAGGGGAACAUCGAGUGAUCCUCAUAUUGGGGGUCUGUCCACCCGCCUAAAAAGCGGGUGUUAGCAAGGGCCGGGCAAGACCGGUGCCAGCCGCCGCGGUAAUACCGGCGGCUCGAGUGGUGGCCGAUAUUAUUGAGUCUAAAGGGUCCGUAGCCGGCUUUGCAAGUCUCUCGGGAAAUCCAGCGGCUUAACCGUUGGGCUGUCGGGGGGUACUACAUUGCUUGGGACUGGGAGAGGUAGGAGGUACUCAGGGGGUAGGAGUGAAAUCCUGUAAUCCUUUGGGGACCACCGGUGGCGAAGGCGUCCUACCAGAACAGGUCCGACGGUGAGGGACGAAAGCUAGGGGCACGAACCGGAUUAGAUACCCGGGUAGUCCUAGCCGUAAACGAUGCUCGCUAGGUGUCACAACAGUCGUGAACUGUUGUGGUGCCGUAGGGAAGCCGUGAAGCGAGCCACUUGGGAAGUACGACCGCAAGGUUGAAACUUAAAGGAAUUGGCGGGGGA
rnacentral:rRNA from 1 species